GGCAACCCACUCCAGUCCCCUUCUGCACUGUGGAAGCUUUGUUCUUUUGCUCUUUGCAAUAAAUCUUGCUACUGCUCACUCUUUGCGUCCACACUGCCUUUAUGAGCUGUAACACUCACUGCGAAGGUCUGCAGCUUCACUCCUGAAGCCAGCCAGACUACGAACCCACCGGGAGGAACGAACAACUCCAGAUGCGCCACCUUAAGAGCUGUAACACUCACCGCGAAGGUCCCGCAGCUUCACUCCUGAGCCAGCAAGACCACGAACCCACCAGAAGGAAGAAACUCCGAACACAUCUGAACAUCAGAAGGAACAAACUCUGGACACACUGCCUUUAAGAACUGUAAUACUCACCGUGAGGGCCCGCGGCUUCAUUCUUGAAGUCAGUGAGACCAAGAACCCACCAAUUCCAGACACAGUGGGAUCACAGAGAGAGCCAACAGUCCAGGCCAUGACAAGCUGGCACCCAGCUCUGCUUCACAUUUGUCCAACUGGCGUGGCUGUAGCUCCUUCCUGCAAGGCAAUGCUGAAGAAGCUAUGGAAGCAAGAAGGAAGCAUGGAUUCUAAAAACUGACAACAAACCACUUACCCCUAUUGCUCUUCUUCCUAAAGCUAAAGGAUCAAACUGCAUCACGGAAGCUGCACACGAUGACACCCUGUCUGGAAAGUUUUUGCCAGAGGGCAAAAGACUGCAAGCAGAAUAUCCCUUUGCCAUUUCUCAUUCAGGACUGGCCGUUGUCUGAAAGCAAACCUCAAGGACAGGACUUCUGGACUCCGCAGCCACUUCAGGCUGCUGCUCCAUCGCAUGAAUUCCAGCAGGUGGCGCUGCACCCCGCGCGGACCCGGCUUGCCUCUCGGCCCCAGGGAGGUCGGUUGAUGAGCAGUCGGGAAGUGGGUCUGCGCGCACCCCGCUGCAGCUGUGGCAAACGCAAACGAUGACACACAGGCUUGACGAGGGCCUUUGUCAGAAGCAAUGGGGAUCUGGCGUCACCGCACAAUGGAAAACAAAGUGCUUCUGCCUGGCUGGCCAGAAUGCACGUUUGCUCACUAUUGAUGCUGGGGCAUUUACAGGCAGAAUGAGUUCAUGUGAAAUUUCAGGAUCUGCCAUGACUCAGAUUCACUUUCUGUAAACCAGAGUCAACAUUACAUUUCCCUUUACUCUGGGCCAUUCCUUGAAUUUUUAGGUCACCAGUUGUUUUUGUACUAACUGAAGGGAUUUGAGUAUUUCACAAGCACCUUAUUUUUAUUAGCAUUUUUAGGGCAUUACCAAUUUGGGACGGAUCUGUAGUGUGAGAGAUUGUUGUCACUCUUAGCUCCAAACAUAGGUUGACUUUAUAUAUUAUUUACAUGUUCAGAAUUAUACUGUGUAGAAAUUCAAAUGAAACUUGCAAAAUACUUUUCUGGCAGGAAGCCCUGGAGAGGAUCGUUCAUGGAAACAAGGAUGACGACUGGGGUAAGAAAUGCAGGUGACUCGUGAGUGGUCAGGGAGUGGAAGAGAAGACGGCUGGAAGGUUUUAGCAUUCAGAAAAAAAAUGGAGACAACUAGAGUUGAUCUGAAGAUUAUGGCAGAAUUCAAUAUUGGGGGAAAGAAACAAGAUGGGGGUUAGAAAUUAGAAACAGCAGAGCUCCACAGGUUGGAAAGGUUGGAAAGGAUUUGAGCAAGAGAACAAGGAGCCUGCUAAUAGCACCCUGGGUUUACAUCAAGAGAAGCACCUGGAGAGAAUUAACUCGGGAGGAGGUGGGGGCAUGGGAAACCUUUUCAUCUCCAAGAGCGGGCAGGAACAGCAGCUGGCCUGAACUUGAAGGUACACCAGGUAGCUUGCGUGGGCCAGGAGAAGGUGAUUCUCUUCUAUGCCUCUCUCCAACGCCCUGCUUCUGAUGCUGCUCCUCUACCUGUAUUGAGGGGAAGAUACAUCCCUAAGAAGUUCCCUGAACCCCAUUCUUUGUUGUGGCUAACUGGUCCCCUUGGAAUUUUUCUACUAAUUUUCAAUUCCCCCUCUCACCUGGUGAAAUCUUGAAUCUUACUGUUCAAUAAAAGUUCUUCUACCGAAA
ensembl:lncRNA LINC01554 long intergenic non-protein coding RNA 1554